UACAGAGGUCUCAAGCGUUUGUUCGGAUUCAUUGGGCGUAAAGGGUGCGUAGGUGGCGCCAUAAGUCAGGUGUGAAAUCUCGGGGCUCAACCCCGAAACUGCAUUUGAUACUGUGGUGCUCGAGUACUGGAGAGGAGAUUGGAAUUUACGGUGUAGCAGUGAAAUGCGUAGAUAUCGUAAGGAAGACCAGUGGCGAAGGCGAAUCUCUGGACAGUUACUGACACUGAGGCACGAAGGCCAGGGGAGCAAACGGG
rnacentral:rRNA from 1 species